AGCUUAGAGGGAAGAAAGAGAUGGGGGAGGGGGAGGACAAAGGCAGGAAGGAAGGCGCUUUGCCAGUUUCAGUUCUGGUUAAUGAGUCUGCCCUUGAUGAAUGGGCUCCCUUCUCUGGCCCUCCGCGGAAGCACAUCUCUGUGCUUUGUGACUUCACAGUCAUUCCCAUGAGGAGGCGGCCUCUGUUUUUCUAGCUCUCGUGGCUGAACUGGCCUCGUCACUUGCUUUGGCCCACAGAGGAGGGCAAAGUGAUGGACUGGUCCCGAAGCGGCUUCAGCCUUCUUCUGGAAAUGCUGCUGGUUGGCUGGGCAGGACAAGCUCAGGGAAGCCUGACAGGCAUGUGGCCCAGUGCCCCCUUCAGAGAAUGACCCACCCUGCUGACCCAUGAGGAAACCCCACAGAGAAAACCCGUGCCCAGCCGAGCCUGCCCCAGCUGCCUCCCCACAUAGAUGAUGAUGUGAUUGCCGGAACUCAGCAGCCAUUAAGCAACCAUGAGGGAAAAGAACAAGACUCCUUAUUUUGUCAGGCACCAGUGUUAUCUGUCAAGCUGCUAGGGGAAGAAUCCUACCUGGAAGGCUCUCAUGGUUGGGAAGGAUGUGGGAGGAACCAACUCCUACCGACCCCCCACAAACCCCACUUAGGACAUCUCCAGCAGGCUCCCCAUUACCACAGAGCCUCUCUCCCUAAUUGUUAGAAAGUGACAUCCAGCUCUACCAUCAUCUGCCUACUU